AAUGAGAUGCCUGAAUAAAGGGUUAUCUUGAUAGGAUAAAUAAAGUAAUAAAUAUUACCCCCAUUA
rnacentral:tRNA from 1 species